rnacentral:rRNA from 1 species
AACGAACGCUGGCGGCAGGCUUAACACAUGCAAGUCGAGCGCCCCGCAAGGGGAGCGGCAGACGGGUGAGUAACACGUGGGAACGUACCCAUCUCUGCGGAACAACUCCGGGAAACUGGAGCUAAUACCGCAUACGCCCUUAGGGGGAAAGAUUUAUCGGAGAUGGAUCGGCCCGCGUUGGAUUAGCUAGUUGGUGGGGUAAAGGCCUACCAAGGCGACGAUCCAUAGCUGGUCUGAGAGGAUGAUCAGCCACAUUGGGACUGAGACACGGCCCAAACUCCUACGGGAGGCAGCAGUGGGGAAUAUUGGACAAUGGGCGCAAGCCUGAUCCAGCCAUGCCGCGUGAGUGAUGAAGGCCUUAGGGUUGUAAAGCUCUUUCAACGGUGAAGAUAAUGACGGUAACCGUAGAAGAAGCCCCGGCUAACUUCGUGCCAGCAGCCGCGGUAACAC